rnacentral:rRNA from 1 species
CAAUAGCGUAUAUUUAAGUUGUUGCAGUUAAAAAGCUCGUAGUUGGAUUUCGGUUGAGAACGGCCGGUCCGCCGUUUGGUGUGCACUGGCUGGUUUCAACUUCCUGUAGAGGACGCGCUCUGGCUUCACGGCUGGACGCGGAGUCUACGUGGUUACUUUGAAAAAAUUAGAGUGUUCAAAGCGGGCUUACGCUUGAAUAUUUCAGCAUGGAAUAACACUAUAGGACUCCUGUCCUAUUUCGUUGGUCUCGGGACGGGAGUAAUGAUUAAGAGGAACAGUUGGGGGCAUUCGUAUUUCAUUGUCAGAGGUGAAAUUCUUGGAUUUAUGAAAGACGAACUACUGCGAAAGCAUUUGCCAAGGAUGUUUUCAUUAA